rnacentral:lncRNA from 1 species
AUCAGACAGCCAUGAAUGGUUCUAAGAUUGAUUGAGACUCAGUAUUCCUAGUGUAACAGUAUUUUUGAGAUUCUGGAGCCUGUGUAGCUCUGAUUGAUGAGCAGUUUAUUACGUUGAGUAGCUGGUGACAUCCUGGAGGUACAAAAAGGCUUCAAGAGAGGUUUCAAAGAAUUUUUAUGAGGAUUUUAGGACUUCUUAUUGAGAGACUCUUGUACAAAGA